GACGAACGCUGGCGGCGUGCUUAACACAUGCAAGUCGAACGGAAAGGCCCUGCUUUUGUGGGGUGCUCGAGUGGCGAACGGGUGAGUAACACGUGAGUAACCUGCCCUUGACUUUGGGAUAACUUCAGGAAACUGGGGCUAAUACCGGAUAGGAGCUCCUGCUGCAUGGUGGGGGUUGGAAAGUUUCGGCGGUUGGGGUUGGACUUGCGGCUUAUCAGCUUGUUGGUGGGGUAGUGGCUUACCAAGGCUUUGACGGGUAGCCGGCCUGAGAGGGUGACCGGCCACAUUGGGACUGAGAUACGGCCCAGACUCCUACGGGAGGCAGCAGUGGGGAAUAUUGCACAAUGGGCGGAAGCCUGAUGCAGCAACGCCGCGUGCGGGAUGACGGCCUUCGGGUUGUAAACCGCUUUCGCCUGUGACGAAGCGUGAGUGACGGUAAUGGGUAAAGAAGCACCGGCUAACUACGUG
rnacentral:rRNA from 1 species